CAGACCUCUAAUCGGAAAA
rnacentral:rRNA from 8 species